rnacentral:snoRNA from 1 species
AACCCAUGGUAAGGACACCUUCACAGUAGGUCCUUGUAUCUCUCCCAUGCAUCAUAGAGUGUUUCUAAAUCCAUCUGCACAAAAGAAGAAAUAUCAUUCCUCAGUUU